UCUAGAAUUCUCUACGACUCACUCCUCCAACUAGCUCUCUUUCGAGUUUCACCAUUACUUUGUUCAAUCAUCUACAGAUCUGCCAUUGCUGGCGAGUUCUAGCAGUAAUCUUCUACCGUUACUCCAUAAGUAUUGACCUUUCUCUCUAACCUUUCCUUAUCCUUCGUCUCUUCUUUUAGGGAUUUACUGUUGUCUUUGAUUUGCUUGGUCCAAUCUUCUUCUAAUUUUUGCUAUGGCACAACAGCAUCUCAAUGGGUAGUCAUAGUUGAAGCCAGAGGUGAUAAACCAGGUUUUUAAUGUUCUGUUUCAAGGACCCAAAUGUUACUUUGCUUUCAAAUCUCAUACCCAUAUCGGUGCUGCAAAAUUAAAAGAAUUUUUUACUAAAUAGAUACUUGCACAGGAUGAAAGGAAAGCUGCAGAAUCACUAAAAAGGCAGCAGAUGAUAAAAGUAAAAAGCAUGAAAAAUGAAAAAUUGGAAGAUCUGAUGAUUCAAGAAAUGCAAAAAAUCAUAGUGUACCGUUAGAACCCGAAACUACCAGAGUGACCAACACACAACUAGAAAUUUAAAAAGUUUUCUUACAGGGUACAACUGAAGAGCAAGAGUAAGAGACUUCUUUGAAGUACUUGUUCCUAUUCACUAUCUAACACAUACAAGCCCAAUCUCUUAAUUACAUUGCAUAUAUUAACAGAAGGAUGUGCAUAACGGGGUCACUUGGAAAAGUUGUAGCCUUAUUUGCGGAAAUGCUUGAUGGUAUCUCUCGAUGUUGUUGCGAACUCAGUAAUUCUAAAUGCAUUUUCUGAAUCUGGUGUGUUGAUUGUGAGAGUUGUUUCUAUUACAUAAUUUUCAAAAUCUAACCAUACAAGGAAAUGUAGGACUAUUCAUCCCCUUUUCUUUCCUUCUUUUGCAUCUUUAUGGCCUACAUCUGAAUGGAAUUCGGUCUGAUACAUGAUAUAUUAAGGAUAUGUAGUUUCAUUUUUUGCCUAAACGUCUAUUUUGACGUUGUAGCUUGACAAGCUAAAUAAAAUAAGAGAACUUAUUAA